rnacentral:tRNA from 6 species
GGACGGGUGGCCGAGUGGCUUAAGGCGCACGAUUGGAAAUCGUGUGGACAUUGUCCGCGUGGGUUCGAAUCCCACCCCGUCCG